rnacentral:snRNA from 1 species
GUCACUUCUUGGUCUUUUGGUUAAGAUCAAGUGUAGUAUCUGUUCUUAUCAGCUUAAUAUCUGGUAUGUCCUCUAUCUGAAGAUAAUAUAUUAAAUGACAAUGCUAUUUCCAAUGAAAGACUGAGCAUGGCUCUUUCCAUGCCAU